GAACGGGUGAGUAACACGUGAGUAAUCUGCCCCUGGCUUUGGGAUAGCCACCGGAAACGGUGAUUAAUACCGGAUAUGACAUGGACUCGCAUGGGUUUGUGUGGAAAGUUUUUCGGCCAGGGAUGUGCUCGCGGCCUAUCAGCUUGAUGGUGAGGUAAUGGCUCACCAUGGCUUCGACGGGUAGCCGGCCUGAGAGGGUGACCGGUCACACUGGGACUGAGACACGGCCCAGACUCCUACGGGAGGCAGCAGUGGGGAAUAUUGGACAAUGGGCGGAAGCCUGAUCCAGCAACGCCGCGUGAGGGAUGACGGCCUUCGGGUUGUAAACCUCUUUCAGUACCGACGAAGCGCAAGUGACGGUAGGUACAGAAGAAGCACCGGCCAACUACGUGCCAGCAGCCGCGGUAAUACGUAGGGUGCGAGCGUUGUCCGGAAUUAUUGGGCGUAAAGGGCUCGUAGGCGGUUUGUCGCGUCGGGAGUGAAAACGCCGUGCUUAACACGGCGCUUGCUUUCGAUACGGGCAGACUAGAGGUAUGCAGGGGAGAAC
rnacentral:rRNA from 1 species